GUGAGACAGUUCGGUCCCUAUCUGGUGUGGGCGUUGGAUGAUUGAGGGGAGCUGCUCCUAGUACGAGAGGACCGGAGUGGACGAACCGCUGGUGUUCGGGUUGUCAUGCCAAUGGCAUUGCCCGGUAGCUACGUUCGGAAUCGAUAACCGCUGAAAGCAUCUAAGCGGGAAGCGAGCCCCGAGAUGAGUCAUCCCUGAUAGUUUAACUAUCCUAAAGGGUUGUUGAAGACUACGACGUAGAUAGGCAGGGUGUGGAAGCGUUGUGAGGCGUUAAGCUAACCUGUACUAAUUGCCCGUGAGGCUUAACC
rnacentral:rRNA from 1 species